rnacentral:rRNA from 1 species
AGCGGCGGAUGGGUGAGUAACACGUGGGGAACCUGCCCCUAAGUCUGGGAUACCAUUUGGAAACAGGUGCUAAUACCGGAUAAUAAAGCAGAUCGCAUGAUCAGCUUUUGAAAGGCGGCGUAAGCUGUCGCUAAGGGAUGGCCCCGCGGUGCAUUAGCUAGUUGGUAAGGUAACGGCUUACCAAGGCGACGAUGCAUAGCCGAGUUGAGAGACUGAUCGGCCACAUUGGGACUGAGACACGGCCCAAACUCCUACGGGAGGCAGUAGUAGGGAAUCUUCCACAAUGGACGCAAGUCUGAUGGAGUAACGCCGCGUGAGUGAAGAAGGUUUUCGGAUCGUAAAGCUCUGUUGUUGGUGAAGAAGGAUAGAGGUAGUAACUGGCCUUUAUUUGACGGUAAUCAACCAGAAAGUCACGGCUAACUACGUGCCAGCAGCCGCGGUAAUACGUAGGUGGCAAGCGUUGUCCGGAUUUAUUGGGCGUAGAGCGAGCGCAGGCGGAAAAAUAAGUCUAAUGUGAAAGCCCUCGGCUUAACCGAGGAACUGCAUCGGAAACUGUUUUUCUUGAGUGCAGAAGAGGAGAGUGGAACUCCAUGUGUAGCGGUGGAAUGCGUAGAUAUAUGGAAGAACACCAGUGGCGAAAGCGGCUCUCUGGUCUGCAACUGACGCUGGGGCUCGAAAGCAUGGGUAGCGAACAGGAUUAGAUACCCUGGUAGUCCAUGCCGUAAACGAUGAGUGCUAAGUGU